AGAGAGAGACAUGCGCGCAUAUCAAUAAGCGGAGGAAAAGAAACUAACAAGGAUUCCCUUAGUAACGGCGAGUGAAGCGGGAAGAGCUCAAAUUUGAAAUCUUAAAGGGUUUCCCUUUACGAAUUGUAGUCUAAAGAAGUGUUUUCUGUUGAGGUUUUGGUAAAAGUUCUUUGGAAUAGGACAUCAUAGAGGGUGAGAAUCCCGUAUUUGACCUUUACUUUCAACUUUGUGAUACACUUUCAAAGAGUCGGAUUGUUUGGGAAUGCAGUCCAAAAUGGGUGGUAAAUUUCAUCUAAAGCUAAAUAUUGGCGAGAGACCGAUAGCGAACAAGUACCGUGAGGGAAAGAUGAAAAGAACUUUGAAAAGAGAGUUAAACAGUACGUGAAAUUGUCAAAAGGGAAGCGUUUGACACCAGUGUUGUUUUUCUGAAAAUCAAUUAAAGAACUGUUUAUGCUAAGUUGUUUAGACUUUAUCAGCUAACUGUUUAGUUUUGAGCUUUUCUUUAAUGCACUUUUCAGUUAACAAGUCAACAUCAAUUUCUUUUGCUGUAAAAAAGCUUGAGGAAGGUGGCUUGAGAUUCGUCUUAAGUGUUUAUAGCCUCUUGCCUAUGCAGUCGGAGAGAUUGAGGUCUGCAGCGUAGAUCCUUCGGGGCUAAAUGCAUUUGUGCUAAGUUAUAGCAUUUUAUAGACAACUUGUUGACUAUGAUUUGUCUUGUAGCUUACUCGCUUAUGUUAUUUUACCUACGCUUAGGAUGUUGAGCGCAUGUCUCUCUCU
rnacentral:rRNA from 1 species